UGAUCCAGCCAUGCCGCGUGAGUGAUGAAGGCCUUAGGGUCGUAAAGCUCUUUCGCCUGUGAAGAUAAUGACUGUAGCUGGUAAAGAAACCCCGGCUAACUCCGUGCCAGCAGCCGCGGUAAUACGGAGGGGGUUAGCGUUGUUCGGAAUUACUGGGCGUAAAGCGCGCGUAGGCGGAUUGGAAAGUUGGGGGUGAAAUCCCAGGGCUCAACCCUGGAACUGCCUCCAAAACUAUCAGUCUAGAGUUCGAGAGAGGUGAGUGGAAUUCCGAGUGUAGAGGUGAAAUUCGUAGAUAUUCGGAGGAACACCAGUGGCGAAGGCGGCUCACUGGCUCGAUACUGACGCUGAGGUGCGAAAGUGUGGGGAGCAAACAGGAUUAGAUACCCUGGUAGUCCACACCGUAAACGAUGAAUGCCAGUCGUCGGGUAGCAUGCUAUUCGGUGACACACCUAACGGAUUAAGCAUUCCGCCUGGGGAGUACGGUCGCAAGAUUAAAACUCAA
rnacentral:rRNA from 1 species